GACGAACGCUGGCGGCGUGCUUAACACAUGCAAGUCGAACGAUGACGACCGAGCUUGCUCGGUCUGAUUAGUGGCGAACGGGUGAGUAACACGUGAGCAACCUGCCCUUCACUCUGGGAUAACCUCGGGAAAUCUGGGCUAAUACCGGAUAUGAGCUCCUGUCGCAUGGCGGGUGUUGGAAAGUUUUUCGGUGAAGGAUGGGCUCGCGGCCUAUCAGUUUGUUGGUGAGGUAGUGGCUCACCAAGGCGAUGACGGGUAGCCGGCCUGAGGGGGCGACCGGCCACACUGGGACUGAGACACGGCCCAGACUCCUACGGGAGGCAGCAGUGGGGAAUAUUGCACAAUGGGCGAAAGCCUGAUGCAGCGACGCCGCGUGAGGGAUGACGGCCUUCGGGUUGUAAACCUCUUUCAGCAGGGAAGAAGCGAAAGUGACGGUACCUGCAGAAGAAGCGCCGGCUAACUACGUG
rnacentral:rRNA from 1 species